rnacentral:rRNA from 1 species
GACGAACGCUGGCGGCGUGCUUAGCACAUGCAAGUCGAACGGAAAGGCCCUGCUUUUGCGGGGUGCUCGAGUGGCGAACGGGUGAGUAACACGUGAGUAACCUGUCCUUGACUUUGGGAUAACUUCAGGAAACUGGGGCUCAUACCGGGUAGGAGCUCCUGCUGCAUGGUGGGGGUUGGAAAGAUUCGGCGGUUGGGGCUGGUCUCGCGGCUUAUCAGCUUGUUGGUGGGGUAGUGGCUUACCAGGGCUUUGACGGGUAGCCGGCCUGGGAGGGUGACCGGCGACAAUGGGCCUGAGAUACGGCCCAGACUCCUACGGGAGGCAGCAGUGGGGAAUAUGGCACAAUGGGCGGAAGCCUGAUGCAGCAACGCCGCGUGCGGGAUGACGGCCUUCGGGUUGUAAACCACUUUCGCCUGUGACGAAGCCUGAGUGACGGUAAUGAGUAAAGAAGCACCGGCUAACUACGUG